GACGAACGCUGGCGGCGUGCUUAACACAUGCAAGUCGAACGGAAAGGCCCUGCUUUUGUGGGGUGCUCGAGUGGCGAACGGGUGAGUAACACGUGAGUAACCUGCCCUUGACUUUGGGAUAACUUCAGGAAACUGGGGCUAAUACCGGAUAGGAGCUCCUGCUGCAUGGUGGGGGUUGGAAAGUUUCGGCGGUUGGGGAUGGACUCGCGGCUUAUCAGCUUGUUGGUGGGGUAGUGGCUUACCAAGGCUUUGACGGGUAGCCGGCCUGGGAGGGUGACCGGCCACAUUGGGACUGAGAUACGGCCCAGACGCCUACGGGAGGCAGAAGUGGGGAAUAUUGCACAAUGGGCGGAAGCCUGAUGCAGCAACGCCGCGUGCGGGAUGACGGCCUUCGGGUUGUAAACCGCUUUCGCCUGUGACGAAGCGUGAGUGACGGUAAUGGGUAAAGAAGCACCGGCUAACUACGUG
rnacentral:rRNA from 1 species